rnacentral:rRNA from 1 species
UACGUAGGGGGCAAGCGUUGUCCGGAUUUAUUGGGCGUAAAGAGCUUGUAGGCGGUUUGUCGCGUCUGCCGUGAAAAUUCGAGGCUCAACCUCGAACUUGCGGUGGGUACGGGCAGACUAGAGUGUGGUAGGGGAGACUGGAAUUCCUGGUGUAGCGGUGAAAUGCGCAGAUAUCAGGAGGAACACCGAUGGCGAAGGCAGGUCUCUGGGCCACUACUGACGCUGAGGAGCGAAAGCGUGGGGAGCGAACAGG